UGCGUAGGGGGCAAGCGUUGUCCGGAUUCAUUGGGCGUAAAGAGCGUGUAGGCGGCCAGGUAGGUCGGUUGUGAAAACUGGAGGCUCAACCUUCAGAGGUCGACCGAAACCAUCUGGCUAGAGUCCGGGAGAGGAGAGUGGAAUUCCUGGUGUAGCGGUGAAAUGCGCAGAUAUCAGGAAGAACACCCGUGGCGAAAGCGGCUCUCUGGAACGGUACUUACGCUGAGACGCGAAAGCGUGGGGAGCGAACAGG
rnacentral:rRNA from 1 species